CGCCACAGGCACGCAGCGAGGGAGGAGGCUGGCGGGAAGCCUGGCCGGCGCGCGGCGCGGGGAAUCGAUGACUCGGCCUAUGGGCACGGCCACCUGGGUGAGGGACAGCGAAGGGGGCGGCGGAGCACCGAUAUCAUGGAUGGGCUCCGAGGGGCUGCGGGAGGGGCACGUCAAUGUUCGGGGCCGUUUUGGCGGCUAGGCGGGAUUGGCCGGAGCUGCAGUACUCGCGCUCGCCUCGCCGACCGCCAUUUCACAUCCUGUAAAGAAGGCGGGGGGAGCCGCGGAGACAAUUUUUCACAAGGUAAGAGAACCCGCCUGCCGGAGGAGGGAGGCGCGGCACACAGAUCUCGUGCCGCUGCGGCCUCGCGGGAGGGCGGGUGGCGAAACGGGCGGGGCCGGGCGCGGGCUCAGCCGGCCCUUCUCAGGUAACGGCGCGGCUCCGCGCUAGACCCUGGGGAAGCGCGCGAGGGGCGGGGGCGCGCGAGCGCGGGUUUCGGCCCAUAGAAGGACCGCCGCCGCGCUCCCCCUUCGUGCCCCCUCAUCUGUGCCUGCUGCAAUGUCUGUGCCUGGCCAGUUAAUGAGAUUUAUUCACGCACAGUUCUGCCCAGCUUUGCCUGGGGUUGGCCGAUCCUGUACACAGGGAUUUCCCACCACCGUGCUUUCUCCCGCCCCUUGCCUUCCCUCUCGCCCUAGAAUAUCCUUGGUUUCCUCCUCUACGCGCCUGGCUGCGUCCCGGGCACGCGCAAGUACAUGUAAGGACUUGUCAGCUCCCAGUGACCUCCCUCCACUCCUCCCCUGGCGGAAUGAGGAUUAAGAGCCUUUCAAGAGAAAAUUUUGGCCAAAGAAAAAGGCCCGUGAAAGUCACCGCGUUAGAUAUGGAUUCUCAGUGUUAUUCAUUAACACGUUGUGCAAGGUUUUACUACCGAUGGCGUAAAGGCAAAAAAGAGGGGAAGGACCGAUAUACAAAACAACUUUAUUCAAAAAUCGAGAGAGGAUGAAGCGAUGCAGUUAGGGAAUAAAAAGAGUUGCUGUUGGGUUGCCUCUUAAGUUGAAACCGAUGUGUUUUGUCUGGCUUGUUCACUGAUAUUGGGCGUGACCUUGGACAAAUGAUUUGGUUUCUGUGUCUUUUUUCUCGAAUGUUCAACGAGAGGGUUUCUCGUAGAAUCUACACCUUAAGGAUUUCUUCCCCCAAAAACGAUUUAAGCGAUGGGAGACAGAAGCCACGAUUUUACGUUCGAAUUUUGCCACCAAAUUAGGAUUCUUGGCAGUCGUUUUCAGUCUUUCAAAAAUAAAGAUCAUUUUUUCACGCUUAUGUAUUAUACAGGUGCAUUUUACUGGUUACUGAGAGCUUCUCAUUUGGAACCAUUGUGGGUCUUCAAAUAGAAAAAUCCAAGGCUCAAAGGGACAGGUCGCUAAACGAAACUGUCUGUAAAUU
rnacentral:lncRNA from 1 species